rnacentral:rRNA from 1 species
AUGAACGCUGGCGGCGUGCCUAAUACAUGCAAGUCGAGCGAACGGACGAGAAGCUUGCUUCUCUGAUGUUAGCGGCGGACGGGUGAGUAACACGUGGAUAACCUACCUAUAAGACUGGGAUAACUUCGGGAAACCGGCGCUAAUACCGGAUAAUAUUUUGAACCGCAUGGUUCAAAAGUGAAAGACGGUCUUGCUGUCACUUAUAGAUGGAUCCGCGCUGCAUUAGCUAGUUGGUAAGGUAACGGCUUACCAAGGCAACGAUGCAUAGCCGACCUGAGAGGGUGAUCGGCCACACUGGAACUGAGACACGGUCCAGACUCCUACGGGAGGCAGCAGUAGGGAAUCUUCCGCAAUGGGCGAAAGCCUGACGGAGCAACGCCGCGUGAGUGAUGAAGGUCUUCGGAUCGUAAAACUCUGUUAUUAGGGAAGAACAUAUGUGUAAGUAACUGUGCACAUCUUGACGGUACCUAAUCAGAAAGCCACGGCUAACUACGUG